rnacentral:rRNA from 1 species
AAAGCGCACGUAGGCGGCUAUUCAAGUCAGAGGUGAAAGCCCGGAGCUCAACUCCGGAACUGCCUUUGAAACUAGAUGGCUUGAACAUCGGAGAGGUAAGUGGAAUUCCGAGUGUAGAGGUGAAAUUCGUAGAUAUUCGGAAGAACACCAGUGGCGAAGGCGGCUUACUGGACGAUUGUUGACGCUGAGGUGCGAAAGCGUGGGGAGCAAACAGGAUUAGAUACCCCUGU